UUAUUGAACUAAUUACAUGCUUAAUUGAUUAAUAACUCAAAUCCCCUCCUUACUACAAAAGACGCAGGACAGAUGCUCUCUGAACUGAAAAACAAUAAUUCUGUCUUGGUUUUUCCAAGCUAUUUAAUGUUCUCUGAAUCAAAUCUGAUUGACUGAGAUGUUGUUUUUCCCCCAAAAUUUUGCCUACUCUCAGUUCCCCUGCCCCAUUUAUUUCCCGUUCUUCAUCUCUUUCUCUUUUACUGCAUCUUUGUGUCAAAUGUUCGCAUUUCUGCUCUCGGGAUGUAAUUAUCCAUGACUUUGUGAGAGCCACUUCGGUUGUCAGCAGUAUUUUUUGUGAAGUUGGUGAAGUGCUUAUGAAAGGCCAGAGCUAUUUCACAGACUGAACAGCUCAUCAUAUUCAGUGUACACUGUGACACUCACAGGUGAAAAGGAAAAAAGUUCUUCUCAAAAGGAAUUCUGAAAAGGGACCGAAAAUUCCAGCUUGUUUCUUGCAUCUUCUUAAAUUCAGAAUGCUGCCAAGGAGAGUGUCAGAGACAAAGACCGAACAGGCUGAUGACACUGCAGAAACCGUCUACAGUGAAGAACAACGAAUAAAUCUGCACGUUUUUUUCCUUGUAAUAAUGUGGUGUGGGAAAUUCAACAUUAUAAAAAACUAUGAACUUAAAUGUGGCAUGUUCUGGGUUUACUUUUAGGAGACUAUAGGGAAGAGCAAACUAAGAUGCAUUCCUUAUUUUAUAAGGAUUAACAUGGGCAACUCAGGUGUCCUCCUUCAACAUUGUCCGUUUAGAAUUUAUGAUUUCAGCUCAAGUGCAAACUAUUUUUUAAUAAACAGCAAAAAAAAAAAAUCAAAUGUCACCAUGUAUUGUAGCUUCAUGUGAAAACACAA